AUUGAACGCUGGCGGAAUGCUUUACACAUGCAAGUCGAACGGCAGCACGGGGCAACCUGGUGGCGAGUGGCGAACGGGUGAGUAAUGCGUAGGAAUCUGCCUUGUAGUGGGGGAUAACCCGGGGAAACUCGGGCUAAUACCGCAUACGCUCUACGGAGGAAAGCGGGGGAUCUUCGGACCUCGCGCUAUAAGAUGAGCCUACGUCCGAUUAGCUAGUUGGUAGGGUAACGGCCUACCAAGGCGACGAUCGGUAGCUGGUCUGAGAGGAUGAUCAGCCACACUGGAACUGAGACACGGUCCAGACUCCUACGGGAGGCAG
rnacentral:rRNA from 1 species